GGUAUUACAAAAAUAAGGAUACGACUGCCAACCGGUAGCUUUGCCGAGAGGCGUUUUCUAAUCACGACAGAAUUAAAAGUAUUAUUGGAUUACAUGAUAGUUCUUGGAUACCCAAGCGAGGAUUAUAAAUUUAUUUCGAGCUGGCCAAGGAAAGAUUUAACAACAAUCGACCCAGUAUCGACACUUCAAGAACUGAAACUGUAUCCUCAAGAAACUGUAAUCAUCGAAGAGCGCUGAUAAUGUGAUGAUCCUGAUAGUGUUAGAGACUAAACUAAAGUCCCCCCCAACCCAUCAGACCAUUAUUAUUAUCGAGCCAAACGAUUAAAUUUACUUUAUCUCAAUUAUGAAAUAUCAAAACUGCGCUGGUUGUAAUUUGCCAAACAAAAUUGAUCAAAAACAAAAACGAGUGAAAUAUUUUUUUACGUGUGAACUGUCUCGUUUGAUUCGUCUUUUAUAUACUGUUGUUGAUUAUGAUGAUUUUACCCUUUUUUUUUGGUUAGCUUAGGGUGACUAGGC